rnacentral:lncRNA from 1 species
AUGUUGGGCCUCCUCUGCUUUGAUCUGUCCCCAGCUUCUGUGGCAGCUGCCCAGCAGAGGCCACCUGAUGUCACUUGGUUCGUUACCUGGAUGAAAGGGUGUCUCCCUCUCAGAGGAGCCGGAGACAAACAAAGGGACAGUGCAGAGCUGUCCCUGCCUGGAAGCCCCCUUCCAUUGCAGGCUCCGGCCUCCUGGUCCACAGAAAAUAACUCAACCCAGCGCGGAAUAAACUCCAACACUGAUCGGUUUUCAAGAAGUUAACCUAAGACAAAAUACUGCUAGAGGGCAGCAGCAAUUUGGAAUCAUUAAAGGGAACCCAUGUAAAUAAUAAAAACAAAACUAAAAUGCAGAAUUAAAUUAAGGAAUAGGAAAUUAAAUUUGUGAAUCUGAUCUGAAAUUGAGGCCCUAUAUGCACAGGCUUUACCCUGGCUUGGCUCUUUGAUCAGGAGGGCUGGGGCAGGAAGGUUCUGCAGAGGUUCCCAGCCCAGGGAAGCAGCGGACAGGAGUGCGCACACCAGCCUCGCCUCCUGGGGUGACAGUGUGCUGUCCUGGGAAGAGGGCUGUGGGCUCGCAGGGAGUAAAGGGACUUCCCUCCCACGAGGCCCUCUCGGAGGAAGAUGAGAGUCGCAUCAUCCCAGCUACUUCUGGAUGACUUAUAUCGAGUGCCAGUGACUAGUGAAGGAGAACCAACAGCCUGCAGCUGAGAGGCUGCGCUGCCGCCACUGGAGACUGCUCAGGAAAUGAGGCAGAUGGAUGCAGGCUGGCUACACCGAGAUGCUGAGAGCAGACACAGGCAGAGUGGCCUUUCCAGUCCCGCUCCACCCCGGUGUUCUGGUCACCCUCCCACAGAGCCUUCUUAAACGCCUGCAGCCCUGCCCCUGGGCCCCUAUUCAUCACAAUUACUGCUCCAACUGUCGGAGGCAGUGCAUGAAACGGCGCACGCUGACGUCCAAUAUUUUAUCACUAAUAAAGAGAAGCAUCCCAAGUAUUUGCACAGUUCUGAUACUUUCCAGCCCCGAGCCCAGGAAAAGGGGGAGCGUGGUAGAUUUAUGCUCACUGCCCGGCAUUGUUAAUUGGCCUUCUCGGCUAGAGCCUCUGGGACCGCUGGUCUCUGGCGCUUCACAACCACAGACUCCGGCAAGCCUGCGGGAAGCUGGCCGGGCGCGCGGCAGGCGGCCGGGGAGGGGCCCGCCGAGCACACAGUAG